rnacentral:lncRNA from 1 species
GCUCAAUCAGUCCCCUGUUCACCAUGCCAUGUCCUUCAAAAUGCACAUACAGGUUUGUGAGAGAGAUACAUCUAACAUGAAAUGAAUUAAAAGCAGAAGCCAAAUUCUCAAAAAAUAGGUGGUUCCUUUGAAACAUACCUUUAUGUCUUCAUCAUUCUUGCCAUAAUUUCCAAAGUUUGAACUUCUCAAAAUUUGCCAUGACUAACUUAUAUUUACAGUAAUCAGCGUAUAAGUCACGAAACUGCAAUUUUCUCCUCCAAGACAGAUGUAAGCAGUGAAUGAGCUGCUAACAUCUCAUUACACGCAACGAUGUCAUUAUGUGGAAAAUAACACAACGGGGAUGCCCGAAGCAAGAUUUUUAGCCACUGAGAUCUGAGAACUUGGUCAUAAAAUACUGACUCAAAUUGAAGUAGUCAGGAUGAAAUUCAGUGCCUUAAUACCAGCAACUCAUACCCUACUAUGUUGCAUGGGCUUGUCAUUCUCCUUGUUUCUUUAACAUAGUUAAAUUAUGUUGAGGUAAUGGGAGUGGCAUGUUUGGGAACUUCAGACCUAUUUUAAUUCAAUUGUAACAUUGGCAAACCCUUACAUUUUUACAGAUCCUCCAGUAACAGGCUACAAAACCCCAUAGGAGUGUGCUAAACCUUGUAGCACCUGACUGAGAUGAAAAUAUAUUCAGAAAGGCUUCAUGUGAGGCAGAAGAUGUGGAUGUCUGGGGUGCCUGAGGGGGCAGCUGAGGGGCAGCUUAGGGAGGAAGAGCUACUGUAGUCCUCGGACCGAGGCCAGCACUCGAGUUGUUCCAGCAGCCACUGCCUAAGCAAAAUAAAGCGCAGCACCAAGGGAACAAGAGUGCCAGACUUGCUGCAAUACAACCCCUGGGAGGGAGGAGAGAAGAUCUUCCACAAAGCUGUUGUGCAGCUCAGAGUGCAUCGAUUUUAAUUUACUGUAGGGCUUUCAUCUCAACAAUGUGUUGCUUAGCUGUGUCCAGCCACAUAAAGCAAAUGGAAGAGAGAAAAAGAGAAGACAUUUCAUAAGAUGCUACCCCAUUCUUCAGAAUUUCAAAGGACAUCAGCAUGAAAUGUCACUAAGCACAAAGACCAAAUAGAGAAAUCCCUGAAAGCUGUACUUGGCAACGCGAGCACAGUCCUAAAUCCCAGCAUCAAGCAGACCUUCCCCUGUUUUCAGAGGACUUCCAAGAUAGCAGAAUUAGAGCCUCUCCACUGCUCAGAGAA